GGAAAAGCAUAGUUCUGCACUAAUAUUAUUAUUACAUAUAAAUUAACCUCCAUUCUCUGUAUGAAUGAGAGAAAAAUCUAUCCUUAAAUUUAUUUAACUAUAGAAUAUUGAGCGAAAUAAGAAAGACUAGCAAUAAAGUCCGUAGCCAAUUACAACUCUUUUAGUGAUGAAUAUAGAUAUCUUUUUUUUAAGGAUAAAUUUCAAUUAAAGACCUUAAUCCAAGAGAGGUUAUUAUUUUAUACCCACUAAAACCAGCCUCCAAAAAGAGUUUUUCCCAUUCUUUUUCAGUCCUCUCUUUUGAAGCAUAAGUAAUCCUCAUUAUUAAGUCCAUCAAGUGUUGUGAUUGAACAAGUUGCUUAUUGUUAUAAUUAUCUUCCAUUAUCAUGUCAAUGAUUAUCACCUUCCCUCCAUUUUCUCUACUCGAAAUUGACUCUUUACAUUUCUUCAGUAACUUCACACAAUCUUCAUCAUCCCAAUUAUGCAAAAUCCACUUGAGUAAGAUUGCGUUGGCAUGAGGAAUUUUAUCAAACAUACUCCCAGCAACAAACUCCAAAUUUCCAGAUCCCUUUCGAUCAGCAAUAACAUGAGGGAGAUCAAGCACAAUACAUUUCAAGCUCGGAAAAGCUCCGGCGAUAGCCAUCGCCACGGCACCGGUGCCACCUCCGAUGUCCACCAAUGACGUCAAGCCUUCAAAUACACCGGCACAACAAUCAGAAAUCAACAAAUUAGACAUCAAUCUCGAAUCGCCAGCCAUAGCAUCAUUGAAAACACCAUUAAACUCCGGAUCUGCACCGCAAUAAUCCCAAUGGGAUUUUCCAUCCGCUGUUUCAAAGGCGGUGCGGAGAUCGUCCUUUAACCAAUCGCCGACAGAAGCAGCCGUGUUCAGCACAACGGGAUGUUGGGCGAAAAGGAAAAAUGACCUGUUACCAAAGUGGUGAUUUUCAACGAGGAGACGGCCAACAGUAGUGAGCGAAUAGCCGUCUCCUUGUUGUUGGUGAUAGUUGAAAAGGCCAAAAUCAACUAAAACUCGCAUUAAAAUGGGGAUAAAUGUAGUUUUUGAAGGAUUCAAAUUUGGCAAAGCGGCAAUAAGAUCAGAAAGAGACAUGAUCGGAUCGGCAUUUUUGUGAAGGAUAUCUGGAAUUCCCAAUUGAAUUGCACAUUUUAUACAUGAAGGACGCAAAUAACUCAAAAUAUAAUCCCAACUUUGAGCUUCAGCUUCUAUUAGCUCAUAAGCACAAAUAUUGUUG
rnacentral:misc_RNA from 1 species